rnacentral:rRNA from 1 species
GACAGAGGGUGCAAACGUUGUUCGGAAUUACUGGGCGUAAAGCGCGUGCAGGCGGCCCUGUAAGUCGGGUGUGAAAUCCCACGGCUCAACCGUGGAAGUGCAUUCGAAACUACAGGGCUAGAGUUCUGGAGAGGAAGGUGGAAUGCUUGGUGUAGAGGUGAAAUUCGUAGAUAUCAAGCGGAACACCGGUGGCGAAGGCGGCCUUCUGGACAGUAACUGACGCUGAGACGCGAAAGCGUGGGGAGCAAACAGG